GUCGAGCGAUGAAGCACCUUCGGGUGUGAAUUAGCGGCGAACGGGUGAGGAACACGUGAGAAAUCUGCCUUCAACACUGGGAUAACUCCGGGAAACCGGGGCUAAUACCGGAUAUGAAAUCUGCGGGCAUCCGCGGAUUUGGAAAGUUUUUCGGUUGAAGAUGAUCUCGCGGCCUAUCAGCUUGUUGGUGAGGUAAUGGCUCACCAAGGCGACGACGGGUAGCCGGCCUGAGAGGGCGACCGGCCACACUGGGACUGAGACACGGCCCAGACUCCUACGGGAGGCAGCAGUGGGGAAUAUUGGGCAAUGGAGGAAACUCUGACCCAGCGACGCCGCGUGCGGGAUGAAGGCCUUCGGGUUGUAAACCGCUUUCAGCAGGGAAGAAGCGAAAGUGACGGUACCUGCAGAAGAAGCACCGGCUAACUAUGUGCCAGCAGCCGCGGUAAUACAUAGGGUGCAAGCGUUGUCCGGAAUUAUUGGGCGUAAAGAGCUCGUAGGUGGUUCGUCACGUCGGAUGUGAAACUCUGGGGCUUAACCCCAGACCUGCAUUCGAUACGGGCGAGCUUGAGUAUGGUAGGGGAGUCUGGAAUUCCUGGUGUAGCGGUGGAAUGCGCAGAUAUCAGGAGGAACACCAAUGGCGAAGGCAGGACUCUGGGCCAUUACUGACACUGAGGAGCGAAAGCGUGGGGAGCGAACAGGAUUAGAUACCCUGGUAGUCCACGCCGUAAACGGUGGGCACUAGUUGUGGGGACCUUCCACGGUCUCUGCGACGCAGCUAACGC
rnacentral:rRNA from 1 species